AUGAAAUGGGAUGCCAAGAGCCUCGCUCAGUUGGUUGAAGUAGUGGCCCAACAGAAACAACUUUGCUACUGGGCAGACAGAGGCCCUUCGGGUCUAGGCUGGGUCAACAUCUAUCGCUACUUCAAGGAGAACAACAAUCAUAACUUCGAUAAGAAACAGAUCCAAAGCAAGUGGGCAGACCUCAAAAGGCAGUACUACAGGUGGCGCGACGGUUUGAAACAAUCUGGUCUAGGCCUUGACCCUGAAUCCGGAGAGAUUGAUGUUGACCCCGUUUGGGCCGCGGCUGUUACAGGGGAGAGUUCCCAAAUUGCUGGUCAGAAGUAUAGGAGGCCGCCAUGCUGUGAGCAGCUUUACUAGAUUUUGGGUCACACACCACGUGAUCGGGGCCAGUUGGUGUCCGCUGGUGGUCACGGUUCCGGCAACAGCAGGAGUGAUGACAGCAUUCAUACUCCCAGCGAUUUGCCGGAUGAGCCCAUGUCGUCACGUGGUAUUGGCCGAUCCUCCAAACGAUCUAGCAGGGAGCAAUCUGUCUGCAGCCCCCAGAAGAAGUGUACCAAAAGUACCUCCAUUGAAGAUGUAGUUCAAGAACUGGACAUCAUCGUUAAGGACUACAAGCGUCAUAAAACAAGUCGUGACAUCGAAAAUGAGGAGAUGGCCAGAGUCCACCAAAUUCUGAGGGACGAUGGGUUCAACGAGAGUGACCUGUACUACAUCCAAGCCACAAAUCUUUGCACAGACAAGAUGCACCGUAGUUCUUUCCUGAAUUUCCAAAGCAAAGAAGGCCGGAUGAACUACGUGAAGUACUCCGUGGAAAUGAUGUAUCUAAAGUCCAAGUGAUCCGAAGGAGCGCCAUCUUUGGGGAUUUAUGAUUUGUUUUACCUAUCCGUGAUCAGCAUGCAUUGUUUUUCCUAAGUUGUCAUCGUUUGUUAAUUACUGUGUGCUGUAAUAAUGAACUCCCAGAACUUCUAGACCUUUCCUGUGAUGCUUGUGUGUGUAAUAAAUUAAGGACGACGAACUGUUUGUAAUUGAUUUGUAUGCUGGUUUGUGAUAUUGUUUGGUAUCCAGCAGCUUGUGCAAUCUGAACUUCAUGAAUUGUCUGUAAUCUGAACUUCAUGAAUUAUUCGUAGUCUAACCGAGCUCCAUGUGCAUUAUGUCCUUGUGCAGGUAUCUGGCAGGCUGUGCAAGUUUCUUCCAACCGUUGUUUUAAGAUGGACAACAAUGAAGAGUCGGGAUGCAGCAGUGAUUCGAGUGCCUCUCCGCAAAUUAAAAAAUUGAGAAAGGCAUUGUUGUUGCUGCGCAAGUGCCAAAGACUGCUGAGAGCGCCAGAACCUGUGGUAAACCCCCCUCCUCCCAUUCCCGUUUUGACUGGGACUCAAUGGCUGCAAAUAACACUUGCUGACCGAGGAAGGUGUCAUGACAUGUUGCGUAUGUCUCGUGAUGCCUUCUUGGCGUUGCAUGAUCGCUUACGUUAUGUUGGGUUGGCUUCAACAAGAGAGUGCACAUCUAAGGAAGCUUUAGCUGUUUACAUUGUCACUUGUGCACACGGAACUGGUGUUAGACAAGUCAAAGAUAGGUUUGAAAGGUCUUUAGGAACAAUCAGUUGCAAGAUAACCACUGUAGCAGAAAUUAUGUUUAGGUGGACCCAGAGUAUUAUAGUUCCUUUGGAUAGGAAUUAUGCACAAGUUCACAGUGAACUGGCCAAAUAUGCACCAUGGUUUGAUGGUUGCAUAGGUGCUAUAGAUGGCACUCACAUUCCUGUGGAAGUGAAUCGAGCAUUGAAAGUUGACUUCAUUGGUAGGGACAAAGAACCUUCCAUGAACAUCCUUGCCAUAGUGAACAUGCAUGGUUGCUAGUGUUAUGUGGGCUCCGGGAAGGCGGGUGCAUGUCAUGAUGUGGCUGUUCUUGAAGACUGCCAGGUGGAUAAAAGGUUUCCUCAUCCACCUCCAGGGCGCUAUUACUUGGUGGACUCUGGAUACAAGGAGCAGGAGGGAUACAUGACUCCGUUCCGGAAUUGUAGGUACCAUACUGAUGACUUUAAGGGUGUGGACUUAAACACACUGGAUUGUUGUGAAAAAAUUAACUACAUUCACUCAAAGCUGCGCAAUAUCAUUGAACGGAGGUUUGGUAUUCUCAAAGAGCGGUGGCAUAUUCUGAAUAAGAUACCGUUAUA